CUGUAACCUUACAUGGUAGAAAGGUUGCCGAGGACUUUGUCCACCAAGUGAUGAAAGCAUGCAAAUGCCUCCGAAUCAAAGGUGAGGAAAACAAAAGCUCAGAAACUAUCUUGGAGUCAGCAAGUAAGAAGGAGCUUAGAAAGGCUUAACAUUUUCCAUGCUUCUGCCUGGCUUCAGAGCCCAUGCACUCUGCCUUACCACGGCAGGUGAAAGAUGGCCCCAAAUUCUUAGGUACAUCUCCUGCCAAAAGACCCCUCCUAUGGGUUCUGUGACUACUUCAAUGAAAAGAAUAGGGCAGAAGAGAUGAUGAGAACUUAACAUCUGGCAGUGUCCAUUUCCUGUCUUUUGAAACUUUCUGUUAAAGGCCUGAGCCACGUAUGAAGUGUGAAUCUUCACACCAUGCAAGAGAAGCCACAUGUUAUUGCUCUGGUCAACAAUCCCAGCUGACCCAACCAGAUAGUGUAUCAGGCAUAUGAGUAAAGCAUUCUUAGAUUCUUCAGUCCAGCCCUUCACCAGCAGAACACCAUUCAGCAACCCUUGUCGGCAUCAUGUGGGACAGAAGAACCACCCAGCUGAGCCUUAUCCAAAUUCCUGACCACAAAAUCAUAAGGGAGAAUGACUUCUUUCAUAUCGCUGAAUGGAGCAACAUGUUUGGCCAAGUUCCUGUCCCAGGGAGGAGAACCUUCAGCUUGCAACAAGUCCUGGCCGUUGGAGAAACCAUGAGACUAGACCUUGUGUAAAGCAGCUGAUUCUGCCAUGGGGGAAAUGCCCUUUUGUUUACUGAGCUUCUCCCACCCAUGCCUUGCUCCACUUUCCUCUAGAAGCCUGAGAUAUUGGGAAUAAGAGUCUCAGCCUCCAAGAGAUGGAGAACAUAUCAAGAGAGUCUGGAUUUCUGGGGUGAUUAAGUUCACUUGAUUCAUUAGCCUAAGUGCUCAAGUAAAUUUCAAAUCACAGUGUUAUGUGUGAUUGUCCACGUCCUUCCUCCAAACACUCCCCACCUCCCACCCAAGGGCCCAUGUAACUUGCUAUUGAGAACCUUUGAUUUCUUAGGUAUUUGGGUGAUAGGGUUUUGUUGCCUCUCCUGAAGAAAAUAGUGGCAAUUUGUACUCAGCUGUGGAAUAAAGGAAAUCAUGACA
rnacentral:lncRNA from 10 species